rnacentral:rRNA from 1 species
AUGUUUGAUCAUGGCUCAGAUUGAACGCUGGCGGCAUGCUUUACACAUGCAAGUCGAGCGGCAGCGCGGGGGCAACCCUGGCGGCGAGCGGCGAACGGGUGAGUAAUACAUCGGAACGUAUCCCGUAGAGGGGGAUAGCCCGGCGAAAGCCGGAUUAAUACCGCAUAUGCUCUACGGAGGAAAGUGGGGGACCUGUGAGGGCCUCACGCUAUGGGAGCGGCCGAUGUCCGAUUAGCUAGUUGGUGGGGUAAAGGCCUACCAAGGCGACGAUCGGUAGCUGGUCUGAGAGGAUGAUCAGCCACACUGGGACUGAGACACGGCCCAGACUCCUACGGGAGGCAGCAGUGGGGAAUAUUGGACAAUGGGGGCAACCCUGAUCCAGCAAUGCCGCGUGAGUGAUGAAGGCCUUAGGGUUGUAAAGCUCUUUUACCCACGACGAUGAUGACGGUAGUGGGAGAAUAAGCCCCGGCUAACUUCGUGCCAGCAGCCGCGGUAAUA